UACGUAGGGUGCAAGCGUUGUCCGGAAUUAUUGGGCGUAAAGAGCUUGUAGGCGGUUUUGUCGCGUCUGCUGUGAAAUUUUCGGGGCUCAACCCCGAACUUGCAGUGGGUACGGGCAGACUAGAGUGUGGUAGGGGAGACUGGAAUUCCUGGUGUAGCGGUGAAAUGCGCAGAUAUCAGGAGGAACACCGAUGGCGAAGGCAGGUCUCUGGGCCGACACUGACGCUCAUGCACGAAAGCGUGGGGAGCAAACAGG
rnacentral:rRNA from 1 species